rnacentral:rRNA from 1 species
GACGAACGCUGGCGGCGUGCCUAAUACAUGCAAGUAGAACGCUGAAGAGAGGAGCUUGCUCUUCUUGGAUGAGUUGCGAACGGGUGAGUAACGCGUAGGUAACCUGCCUUGUAGCGGGGGAUAACUAUUGGAAACGAUAGCUAAUACCGCAUAACAAUGGAUGACACAUGUCAUUUAUUUGAAAGGGGCAAUUGCUCCACUACAAGAUGGACCUGCGUUGUAUUAGCUAGUAGGUGAGGUAAUGGCUCACCUAGGCGACGAUACAUAGCCGACCUGAGAGGGUGAUCGGCCACACUGGGACUGAGACACGGCCCAGACUCCUACGGGAGGCAGCAGUAGGGAAUCUUCGGCAAUGGGGGCAACCCUGACCGAGCAACGCCGCGUGAGUGAAGAAGGUUUUCGGAUCGUAAAGAUCUGUUGUAAGUCAAGAACGGGUGUGAGAGUGGAAAGUUCACACUGUGACGGUAGCUGACCAGAAAGGGACGGCUAACUACGUG